rnacentral:rRNA from 1 species
GACGAACGCUGGCGGCAUGCCUAACACAUGCAAGUCGAACGAAACCUUCGGGUCUAGUGGCGCACGGGUGCGUAACGCGUGGGAACCUGCCCUUAGGUUCGGUAUAACUCCCCGAGAGGGGUGCUAAUACAGGAUAAUGUCUUCGGACCAAGGAUUUCUCGCCUUUGGGUGGGCCCGCGUUAGAUUCGCGGGUUGGUAGUGUAAAAGCCUGGCAUGGCGAGGAUGCAUAGCUGGUCUGAGAGGAGGAUCAGCCACACUGGGACUGAGACACGGCCCAGAAUCGGAGGGGAGGGAGCAGAGGGGAAUAUUAGACAAGGGGCGAUAGUCUGACACAGCAACGCGGGGGGAGAGAUGAAGGGCGUAGGGUUGCAAAGCCGUUUUACCCGGGAUGAUAAUGACAGUACCGGGAGAAGAAGCUCCGGCUAACUACGUG